GACGAACGCUGGCGGCGUGCUUAACACAUGCAAGUCGAACGAAGUGGCGAACGGGUGAGUACCGCGUAAUCAACCUGCCCUUCAGCGGGGGACAACAGUUGGAAACGACUGCUAAUACCGCAUACUGAAGGAGGGGAUUGCGUCUGAUUAGCUAGGUGUAGGGGUAACGGCCCACCAAGGCGAUGAACAGUAGGCGUGCCGAGAGUAUGAACGGCCACAUUGGGACUGAGCAAAGGCCCAGACUCCUACGGGAUGCAGCAGGGGGGAAUCUUCCGAAAUGGACGAAAGUCUGACGGAGCAACGCCGCGUGAGUGAUGACGGCCUUCGGGUUGUAAAGCUCUGUUAAUCGGGACGCGGUACCGGAAUAGAAAGCAACGGCUAACUACGUGCCAGCAGCCGCGGUAAUUC
rnacentral:rRNA from 1 species